CCCACACCCCCACACCGACCGGUGACGCUCGCCUCGAUCCCAGACGAGGACCAACGGUUGCUCGGAACCUGAACUGACGGCCUCGCCUCCAGAAACCGGACCAAAAAUGACGGGAGGUGGAGUUCUUCGGACCCGUGAUCGAAAACACAUCGCAGAGCCGGCGGACGCCUUUCCCCUCUGCACCAGAGUGGGAGGAGCCCAGAAACCAACUUCUCCAGGAGUCAUGGAAGAUUGAUCGCCUGGUCGCUACUCAAGCAACCAAGCAACCAAAAAUCACAACCACAUUAAAUGGGAGAAAAGAUGUACCUUUUGCCUUUGAUCUUAUUAGUUAUAAAAGGAUCGAAAAUGGGCGUUCCAAAUUCCAUUUGAUUGAGCUAGGGACUGGGCCAAGCAGAGUUGGCAAACCUCGUCAAAGGCAAACAUCAAGAAGGGUUCUUUUUAAAAAUUAUAACUUUUGUGUUUGCAGAACAAGACUGUUCAAAUAUAAAUAAAACUGACUUAGCAAAUA